ACGCUGACGUGACCCAGCCCGAGAAUUUGGCGGGAUCUCCGAAAGUUGCAGUUCUCCGCGCGCGCCGUGGCCUGAAACCGAGGUCUGAGGAGAGCGGAGACGCACCCGGAGGGACGCAGUUGGGAGCUGAGUUUCGCCUGGGUUGUGUGAAGAAGGCCAGAACAAGGGAGUAGAGAAGUGGGCAGGAAGCGAAGGGGUCUGGAGUCCGUCCCAGCCGGGCGCGGACCGAGCCAGCGGACAGAAGUCGGGGCGCGCAGCCAGUGGGAGCGAGGAGCGCUGCGUACCAGGGUGAGGGUGUUAGGCGCGGACUCGAUUCCUUUUUGCCUCAGGUAUUGAAUGCUGAGUAAUGGCUAUGCAAAUGCAGCUUGAAGCAAAUGCAGAUACUUCAGUGGAAGAAGAGAGCUUUGGCCCACAACCUAUAUCUCGAUUAGAGCAAUGUGGCAUAAAUGCCAAUGAUGUGAAGAAAUUGGAAGAAGCUGGAUUCCAUACUGUGGAGGCUGUUGCCUAUGCACCAAAAAAGGAACUAAUAAAUAUUAAGGGCAUUAGUGAAGCCAAAGCUGAUAAAAUUCUGACUGAGGCAGCCAAGUUAGUUCCAAUGGGUUUCACCACUGCAACUGAGUUCCACCAAAGGCGAUCAGAGAUCAUACAGAUUACUACCGGCUCCAAAGAACUUGACAAACUACUUCAAGGAGGAAUUGAGACUGGAUCAAUUACAGAGAUGUUUGGAGAAUUCCGAACUGGGAAGACUCAGAUCUGUCAUACAUUGGCUGUAACAUGCCAGCUUCCCAUUGACCGAGGUGGAGGAGAAGGAAAGGCCAUGUACAUUGACACUGAAGGUACUUUUAGACCAGAAAGGCUGCUAGCAGUGGCUGAGAGAUAUGGUCUCUCUGGCAGUGAUGUCCUGGAUAAUGUAGCAUAUGCUCGAGGGUUCAACACAGACCACCAGACCCAGCUCCUUUAUCAAGCAUCAGCCAUGAUGGUAGAAUCUAGGUAUGCACUGUUAAUUGUAGACAGUGCCACUGCCCUCUACAGAACCGACUAUUCGGGUCGAGGGGAACUUUCAGCCAGGCAGAUGCACCUGGCCAGGUUUCUGCGGAUGCUUCUGCGACUUGCUGAUGAGUUUGGUGUCGCAGUGGUGAUCACCAACCAGGUGGUAGCCCAAGUGGAUGGAGCAGCCAUGUUUGCUGCAGAUCCUAAAAAACCUAUUGGAGGAAAUAUCAUUGCUCAUGCCUCAACAACCAGACUGUAUCUGAGGAAAGGAAGAGGGGAAACCAGAAUCUGCAAAAUCUACGAUUCUCCCUGUCUUCCUGAAGCUGAAGCUAUGUUUGCCAUCAAUGCAGAUGGAGUGGGAGAUGCCAAAGACUGAUUGAUUGGGGCUUUUCCUGUGAUAAAGCUUAAGUGCUACAGCCUAAUGGAGAGGACUGCUCCCUGGGGCUUCUUCACAGGCCUCUUCCUGUUUUCCUGCCAGAAAAAGGCUUCUGGAAAAACACCUAUUCUAUCAGCUUUUCUGAUGGUGUAAACAGGAGACCGGUCAGUAGUCACAAACUGAUCUGAAAUGUUUAUUCUGUCUGGAGUUUAUUAAUGUCUAUGUGAAUUAUUUGGGGGGAAGUAAGGAAGAUGUUUGACAUCGUGCCUUAGGGUUGACUCAGAACUAACAGAUGUUGCCCUGGCCAAUCUUUAGUUCCCUUGAAGACAAAAGCUGGUGAGAUUGGACUCUAUCUGAACAAUGUUGAAAUGCCUGGGUGGCAAAGGAAGUAGGUCUCCUCACUGGUGGUUUUUUUUUUUUUUGGUCAGUAAAACUGUCAGAAGUAGGUUAAGUUAGUUUGCCUGAAUUAUAGAAGAAUUUGUUUUUAUUUAAGGCCUACUGGGCUACCAGCCCUUCAACAUCUAUGUGCUUGUUUUUUUAACUGCUAAGAGUAACUCAAGAUAAUUCUGGAAUCUUAAUCAUUUCAGAAGCCCUAAGUGAUUUAGUGUGGGGCUACUAAUGAAGUAGUUAUUUGUGCGGUUUAUAGGAGUUAUUCUGGUGUAAGCUGAAUAUUUUAAGAGAGGGCCUUAAAAAUAAUUUAUUGGCACUAACUGAUCAGUUUCUAUUGCUUUAAAAUUGAGAAUUUUAAAGGGAAGUCAUACAUUCAGAUGAUUUAGCUUACUAGCCUUCAAUGUAAUAGAUAUUACAAGAUGAAUAUCCAAUGACUUUCCCAUGGCCUUUGUAUUAAGCUUUUGUUAUAGAGUCCUGAUACUUGUCCAUACUAUUCUACUUGAGGGGUUUGAGAUACUUCUCUUCUUCCCCUUCAGACUUCUACUCAGGAUGAAUUUUAACCAGCUCUUCAAAUUUCAAAGGGCCUCUCAGCUAGUAUUGGAAGGAGGGGCAUAGAAAAUCUCUGCUGUUGCCUGUGUUGAUCCUACUGUAUGUAGGGAAAUAGGAAGACACAGUCAAUUUAAUGCAGCUUUGUUUAAAGAAUGGAGUAUCUCUCAGGUCUUGUCCUUCAUUUCUUUACCACAAAACAAACCUGGGAUGGUGUGUGUGUAUGUAUGUGUGUGUAUAUAUAUAGAGAGAGAGAGUAAGCCAGAGUGGCAGAUUCUGGAAUGGAAGUAAAAGGAUUUCAAUCCUUUAGUCCUAUAAAUUUGUCUGAAUUAUCACAGGUGAGAUUAGGCUUUGUGCUGUUGGCCAUAAGAGUCAACUAGUUAGAAUAGACCUUGGCCAGCCUUUUUUACUUGUAACUAAAAUUUCCACUGAAAAGAGCUUAAACUAUUAGGUGCUAUUUGUCUGCCAUAGCUUCUGUAGUAGGAAGUAGUUAUGGAAAUGUCAAGCAAGAAAGGGGAAUAUAGUCACUUCUAAUCAAAUUUGGUUUAUUUCAAGUUUGUACCAAAAUAUAUUCCAGGCAACUCCUCAGAUCAUCAUUUCACAGUCUCCUGUCUUAUGGACUGUGCCCUUCUAAAAGCUGCUGGGAUUCUAUUCUGGAAAUCAAGUAUUCCAGCCCCUCAGCCCAGGAAUAUAGUUAGAAUUCACAUGAUAGGGGAGAAGAGGGCAAUAUUUUUGGGCUGCUAUGACCUUUCCUUUUACCAUGAUAGGGUAUGGUUUCAGGACUGUAUACUUUGGUGUUGAAUAUUAAUCAGUAGAAAAGAUUAGAGAGUACAAGUUCUGUGUUUUGUUCCCAUAGCUCUUUGAAGUUCAUCCACUCACAGGCUAAAGGCAGCCUUCAGUGCUAGUCUUGGUUUUUCAAGAAUUCACUUAAGAGAACUAUAGAAAUCCAGGCCUCAAGUACUUCCCCAAUUUCAGAUUAGAUAAGGGAUUAGAAUAAAUUAACCAGUGGGCAAGGAAAGAAAUUGGGGAAUGGUUAUAGAUACCAGCCAGGCUCGGGAGUCAGGACCCUUACUUAAGCAGUCUUAGAUUCCUGAUCUAAUAAGCAGGGCAGUCUUCCUCAAGUCAUGAAGGCCACUGAAAUAUGAUUAUUCUCUUAAAAUUACUUCCAAUUCUUCCAAGUCUUUCUGGAAAGCUGAAUCCUAAGGAGACAAGAGAAUAAAACCAAAACUAGACCAGAACUUGAAAAUCUAACAUUUCCCCAACCACUGAUACCUGAGAAGGGCCCUUUGCUUCCUUUUUACCUACUUUCGCAGGACAGCCUAUGAAAUCUGCCUCCUCCCCUAGGUGAGAUAUAUAUAAAAGAACCUAUAUACAAUUUUCUAGGGAAGAUUCUUUCCUGAAAAAAGGUCACAUGAUUCAAGAGCUCUUCAAAGUAUUACCUCAUUGGUGACAUCUGGCAGCUCCAGGGCUAACUUCAUCCACUGUCUAGCUUCAGAGUUUUUUCCUAGUUCUCUGUAGCACUGAAAAGAUACAACAGUGAAAACCUGGGAGAAAUACCACCAGAACCUGGACUUUCAGAACUUCCCACAAAUAACAUGUUUUCAUCGAUGUUGAAAAAGGCAGGUUUCAUCCUGGCUACUGGUACUAAUAAGAGAUGAUCAUUGAUCAAAAAGAAAGGUUCUUGUUGAUACCAAGAGUCCAGAUAUUAGCCCAAAAGCUGAUCAGAAUCCUCACCUGAAAUCUAGGAGGGAAAGCAAAAGCUUUUGAGAAGAAGCAAACAGAAAUUAAGCACCUUCUGUUAAAACUUGGAGAUUUUUCUGAAAAUAUCAAUAAACAUUCAAC